rnacentral:misc_RNA from 1 species
GAUGAAGAACGUAGCGAAAUGCGAUAAGUAAUGUGAAUUGCAGAAUUCAGUCAAUCAUCGAAUCUUUGAACGCACAUUGCGCCCGCCAGCACUCUGGCGGGCAUGCCUGUUCGAGCGUCAUUUCAACCAUCAAGCCCCCAGGGGCUUGUGCUGGGGCCCUGCGGCUGCCCGCAGGCCCUGAAAACCAGUGGCGGGCUCGCUAGUCACACCGAGCGCAGUAGCACAUCUCGCUCAGGGCGUGCGGCGGGCUCCUGCCGUGAAACCCCCCACUGUAACCCCAAAGGUUGACCUCGGAUCAGGUAGGAAUACCCGCUGAACUUAAGCAUAUCAAUAAGCGGAGGA